CGGGACCGAGCGCAAGCCUCGCAGAGCUAACGGCCGUCGCCCCGGGAGGGGCUGGGCGCGCUGAGGCCUGCGGCCGCAAGGCACGCCGGGAGAGAGGCGCGCUGAGGCUGCCGGGACCCCGGGAGCGCGGGAGCGAGGGAGAACGGCCUCUGUGGAGCUCCAUAGUGACUUGCGUUUGCUCCGACUCUGGAUUGUCCCAGGGACUUGGAGGAUCACCCAUCCCAGAACGACAGGAAAGGAGUUUUACUCGCAGCGUCACCAUGCCGGGAAGGAUAAAAGUCUAAUGACUGAAACAUUUCACCUACAUGUAUCUACGAGCACCAGGUGCUUGCCUAGUACCUGCGAGGAUGAGUAGAGGGCAGUGGAGUUCCUGAAACUGGAGUCAUGACAGUGACACCACUUGGCUUUGGCUGCUGAUAUUACAGAAAGACUUUCCAUUGGUAAAACAAGAUUCUGUACUAAAGUAAAGGAUUUUUCCAAAACAGGAAAUGAAAGGUGAAGACAAGGAGCACUAUACCACAGAACUGCAUUCCUAGUUAGAGGGUUCAGGGUUUUGUUUUUUGGGUGUUUUGUUUUGGUCUUUUUGCUUUUGAGACAGGGUCUUUCUGUGUAGCUUUGGUUGUCCUGGAACUUGCUAUGUAGACCAGGCUGGCCUCGAACUCAAGACAUUCUAAUGUUUCUGCCUUCUGAGUGCUGUUGUUAAAGUCCUGUGCCACCACACCAGGCCAACUCUCUGUCUCUCUGUGUGUGUUUGUGUGUAAGAUCUCUGUGACUGCAAGGUAUGUGUGCCACGGCAUGCAUAGGACAGGAAACAGCUUAGGAGUUGAUUCUCUCCUGUGGAUUUCAGGGACUGAAUUAGAGUUGUCAACAAGGACUUCUAUCCCCGAGCCCUCUCACUUAUCAGAGAUUUCAACUUUAAGCAGGUGUCUGCCCAAGACAUGAUUA